AGAGUUUGAUCCUGGCUCAGAGCGAACGCUGGCGGCAUGCUUAACACAUGCAAGUCGCACGGUCGGGGCAACCCGGCAGUGGCGGACGGGUGAGUAACGCGUAGGUAUCUGUCCAAGGAUGGGGGAUAACGGCGGGAAACUGCUGCUAAUACCGCAUGAUGCCUGAGGGCCAAAGGCGAAAGCCGUCCAUGGAGGAGCCU
rnacentral:rRNA from 1 species